GAGGGUACAGCUCAGCGGUAGAGUGUGUGCUUAGCACACACGAGGUCCUGGGUUCAAUCCCCAGUACCCCCA
rnacentral:tRNA from 1 species